rnacentral:tRNA from 1 species
UGGCUAAAUGGUUAAGAGCACUGAAUGCUCUUUCAGAGGUUCUGAGUUCAAUUCUCAG